CUUCUCCGAUUCGAACCACCUUUAACUGCAGAUAUGAGAUCCGGCGCCGGACACCGCCGACAACCCAGGGACUCAUUCAUUCCGACAGAUUCCCAUCAGCGCCAUCAGUUCCCCCGUGACUCCAACGCCAGUUUGGCGAGCAGCCGCCGUUCUUCCUCCGGCGGCGCGAGGUGCACGAAGAUCGAGGACUACAAGGAGCGCCGCUUGCAGAAAUCGGUGAUUUCCGCCCUCAACAAGUUCCUGAAGACGCGGGACUUUCACAUCAUCAAAUCCAGCGGAACCCCACCUUCCAACGACAUCCUCGAUACCCUAAAAAUCCUUCUGAGAGAGAUCGAGUACCCUGUGUCGAGGCUCGAAGAGGAUCUUCCCCCUCUCCUGAAGCGCCUCAAUUACCCUUUCACGAUCCACAAAUCCAUCCUCAAAAUCCCCGACCCUCAUCAUUGGCAUCACUUGCUCGCACUCAUUCACUGGCUCGUUCAGAUCGCCACCUUCGGCUCUCACAUCUCCGAAUCCACCUCCAAUACAGUCUUGUCCCUCGUCCAGGUCAACCUUGUCCACCAGUACACCCUCAAUUCCUAUGUUAACUACAUUAAGGGCCAUGAUGAUGUGGUUGAAGAACUCGAACUCGACAUCAUGGACAAGCUCAACCACCAGAAGGUCCUCGCCGAGGAGAAGCUCGAGGCUGCCAACAAUGAACUCAAGAGUUUGAGGGAUGACUUAGAGAAGCUGAGGUUGCAUCCCGUAAAGAAGGACGAGUUGGAGAAGAUUAAGGGCAUGCUAGAGGACGAUGUGAAGAAGUUUAAUCUUCUGAUUGAGGAUGUUGGGGGGGAGAUUGAGGAUAUGGUGAAGGUGCUGGCAGAGAAGGAGAAGGUUCUGGAGGCGAAGGAGCAGGAGAACCAUAGGGUUUGCGAGGAGAACAAGGAACUGAGGAGGACGGACGGUGGAGGCGCAGCCUGUGAAUGCAAGGGAUGUGGAGAGGAUGAAGAGGGAGUUGCAGGCUUUGGAGAGGGAGAUCGAGGAGGACGAGCUUGCCAGGAAUGUUUGGGAGGACAAGUCCCGGGAACUGGAGAAUAGUCUUUCUCACGAGUUCAAGGACCUUGAGGCGCUUGCUUUGGAUUGCAACCAAGAGCUGAGGAGGUUGAAGAUCGGUGAUAAUAUUCGGUAUCAGUUGAAUGCCAAGGGAACUACACCUGCUGAGAUUAUGGGUUUUGACCAUAAAUUGAGUCUGAAGCCUGCACUUAACUCGUACACUGAGGACAUUAAGAAGAUUUAUAUGGGGAGAUGGGAAGAGUUAAUUUCCUAUCAGCAAAUGUCCAAUGAAAAUGCUUCUAGGCUUGAGGAAAAAAGAAAUAAUGUUGCAACAGUGCAG